UUAGAACUGUCAACUUGUGUGAAUUUUUAGAGGGUCUUAACGACUUCAUUUGGGAAAACUUCCUUCAUGAGAGUUGUAGCCCUUCAAGUCUAGAAAAUUCUCCAAGUGGUUUCGUGUCGAUCCGAUAUCUGUAGCUCCAGAUAUCCCCGUUUUAGUGAACGUAGUUCCGGCUGUACAGUGCCAGCGGGAUUAUUACAUUGUUUUUCUUCUAAGUCCGAAUUUAAUUAUGAAUUUACCUUUGAGGGCUUAGGUUUUAGUAAGUUUCAGGUCUGAUUAGGUAAUUAGACUGGUGGGUUAAGGUUGGACUUGGGUCGGGCUUGUGGAAAACAAAACCCUAGCCCACUUGUGGGUUGCAUGGGAUUUUAGCCAAGGGGGGAAACCCUAUUCUUCCACAAUCAGAAAACAGAGAUACACUACAGCACCUUCACGUGAAAAACAAAGAGAGAACGUGUGAGAGAAGAGAAGGGAGCCGCCGCCCAAGCCACCACCAUUGUCGCCGGUCACGCGCGCGAGCAAGGGAGAGAGCGCGAAUAGAGAGGGUUUCGCGAAGGAGAAGGAAGGUGAAGGAGACCUGGACAGCAAGAGAUUGUUCUUCCAAACUUCACUCUCUUCUUCUUUUCAGACCAAGAACCCAAGAUGGUCGUGAAGAUAAUGGCGAUGACUCAUUCUUGGGAGUUGAUGCUACGUGACGUGCCAAUACCGGAGGACGACUACACUUCAGAGGAAGAGGAAGAGGCUAAGGAAUAGGGUUUUGGUUGAGAGUCUUUUGUUGUCUGUUGGGGUUGAGAGUUUCCGAAGUGUUGGUAUCGAACAAUAUUAUUGCUUAAAUUCGAAUGAACAAGUUUUGAUGUAAUCUUUAUUUUCAUUCAGGACUUUGAUUCGUACU